AGAAAUUAGAUUGUUGUAUUUUAUACUCAUUUUUACAUCUAUAUAUAAAAACUAUAACUUUCACAUUUUUCUCUAUUCCAGGUUGCACGAAGACAUUUGAUUCAGUCCCUGCUCUGAGGAAGGCAGUUAUAUUAGGCUACAGCCCUAUUAGACCUUGGAUGUCUGUAGUUUACAGGUUCACUAUAGAAACCAAGUUCGAGCUCUCUUUCGCCUAUAUAAAAUAAACGCAAUGAAUCAUAUUGUUGCAAUGUGUUUUGUUGUGUAUUUUAUGCUAAGCUCCAUCCAACUGCUAUGAAGUCUUCCAAAGUAAGCAGAGUUAUUGUCAUUCCCUUAUCUUGCUUUGUUAUAUAUAGUAGCAUACAACAGGAGGCCUUUUUUUAUUUUCACGUUUUAGUGUUGUUCAUCUUCAUUUCGCCCUUAAAAGCAAGGUAUAAAGGUUGAAAUGAAUUUCAAAAUGAUAACUCUGCAGUUCCCUACAUAGUGGGAUGGGGCACAGGAAAAGGAAAUGUAUAUGAGGCAGAAACUUUUGUCAUAAUUGAUGAUGUUAGACUUUUGUAAUUUUAAAAUCGGAUGCACAUCUGAAUAAACUAUGGUCUUGAUGUUAUGGGGAUGCCAAAUGAUGUCAUUAAUGUAGCUUAUUUUUGAGUUCUACUUUUUGAGAAUGUUGCUGAGACAUUCCAAGCAAAAGUCAUGUAUCUACAAGGAAUUGAUACUGAAACUUAGAGGUUGAGCAUUGUGAAGUGGAUAAAUUUCUUGUAAUGAGGAAUUCAGAGAAAUCAUUUUCUUUUGUAAUCAAGAUUUUAACCUGAUAAUUUUGGUAGCAUAUAUUUGUACUA